UAUUUACAAUUUUCUAUUCCCAAAAUUAUUGACUACAUUUCCGCCCCGAGGAAUAUCUUGUACUCUGGGGUGAGUGUGUGAUGUCUCCAGGCUAAAAGUAAGUUUGUUUUCCUUUUUUUACGAGGUUUCGCAACAACAGAGGUCAUAUCAACCCUCAGGAUGCUUGUGUUUUUGAAAAAAAUCCCAUUUGUAAGUACGUCGAGUUCGGAUGCUGGAUUCGAACCCGGGACCUUUACCUUACAGUGAUGAGCGCCGUGUCAACGCCUAAACCGUUGCGGUCAUCGAUGCCCCAAAAGUAAGUUAUUAGUGAGAAGGGAAUGGGUCACGAGGAAUAUCGAGUACUCUGGAGGAGUGAAUGUGACCAGACAUGAUAACAUAUAUAAAAGCAAAGAGUCUCAGCAACCAGAUUUAGACGAUCAGUUGGCUCCACUUUAAAACAAGAUGCUCGUGAAUGACCAGAAAAAGAAGAAAACCCCGCAAAGGGUUUGUGUCUGUUGUGUUGGAGUUUGGUUGCUUCCACAUGCUCGUGUUGGCUAAAGCCAUUCUGAAGUUUUGCGGCAAACCUUUGUAUUCCGAGAUGACUUCACGGAUCUCAAGACCCCAAUCUAUCGAUGUAAUAAGGAGAAGAGUUCAGCAGAUGUGAAAUGAUUCAAAGCAAGAGAAUCUCUAUGCAACAUCUUAAGACCAACAAUAUCACUUUUUCAUGAGCGACCUGCCACAAUUCACAAACAUAAAAUCACAUUGACGGAUAUUUCAAUCAAAAACUGCCACAACGUGACAAGAAGUUGAAUCAACCUGACAGAGUGAAUUGCCAUAAAUAACCGUUUUCAA